UACAGAGGUCCCAAGCGUUGUUCGGAUUCAUUGGGCGUAAAGGGUGCGUAGGUGGCGCCGUAAGUCAGGUGUGAAAUUUCGGAGCUUAACUCCGAAACUGCAUUUGAUACUGCGGUGCUUGAGGACUGGAGAGGAGACUGGAAUUACGGUGUAGCAGUGAAAUGCGUAGAGAUCGUAAGGAAGACCAGUGGCGAAGGCGGGUCUCGUGGACAGUUCCUGACACUGAGGCACGAAGGCCAGGGGAGCAAACGGG
rnacentral:rRNA from 1 species